AGUGAGCAUUCGGCGAGUGAAGGUAGCUCGUUCCGCAGCGGAGCAGUGUUCUGCAAAGGGAGCCUUCGAGCUCCCUUGAAUCCUCCGGCAAAAGGAACGAACGAAGUUCUGUCAGUUUGUGAUAAGUGUCCAAAAAGUUUGUGAUUUGCUGGAACGUUUGAUUUGAGUAUCUGUUUCGGAAGUGACUGGGGCUCGUAAAGGAAGGAAGUGCCGAACCGGAUCAACCGGUGCCGAUCGGUGUGUGUGCGAAAGAGAUUCCGGGGAUGGAGAUCGAGCGCCUUAUCAGGGACGCAUCCGCAAGGACGGGCUGGAGCUCGGCGGGAUUGGAACAGAGAGGAGUCCUGUUUCCGCGCUUCAAGGAGGAAACUGAAACCAAGGACGGACUGUCAUCGGUUCAACACCCUCUGGGGAGUCCCCCUCCAGCUCAACCGGUCUACUGCGCGAUUGGCGAACCGAGGGGCCUCGGACGGACCACAGCACCGACACACGGCCGAGGGAGACGGUUCACGGCGUUUUCUCGAAACCACCACACUGCCGCUGCCCUGCAUCCACCAAGGCUCCAAGGGACAGCAUUGGAACGCUCUGCCCCUGGAUCCGAUGCUUGCGAAUAUGGCGGUAACAAAAAAAAAAGACGUGUGACCCAAAACACCAGCACCGGUAGAAGCUAAACGGUCUAAUUUUGCGGUGCAAGCAAAACUCCAGCACUAAGGUGAUAGAUCAAUCGUCGUCGAACAAAAGGCUUAGUCUGGUCCGACACCACGGGUUUUUUCCCCCUGCAUCGCCAAAACUAGGAAAAAAUCCUGCUUCGUAAUCGUUUUUGAUUGUGAUUGUUCUCCCUCCGAUCCCGCCGCAGCCGCCGCCGGAAGCCCCUUCCUAAAACCGAAGGAAGAAGCUGCAGCGACACAAAAGAUCCAACAAUGGAAUACGUGAAAUGUCAGCAACAGUUCAAUUUACUGCACACCACACCCGUCGUUGCCGAAGUCGAACCGGACUCGAGCUUUCGACUCCAGUCGCCGUCGUUUGGCGGAAGUUAGCUGAAACUGCACUUUUUUCCCCGCUCUCGGCCUCGGAUUCCCGAGAAUUGCGGCAAUGUAUGCGCCAUUAUUCCAGAAGGAAGCGCCAAAUCGAACAACGGAAUCCCAUUUUUCAUGGCUCGAUUUCCUGACUCCUGGAUUCGGCAGGCAGCCGAGAGCUGCGGAGAAGAAGAAAAAACAGCGAACAAACGAAUGGAUCGGAACAAACGUGUUUUGCUAGGAAUCGGUUCACUGCGGCAACUUCACGACAUUUUUCAAUUUCCAUCCAUAAAUAUUUCAUCUUUUUCCAAUUCAUUACGGCAAGUGGUUGGUACGUGGUACGGAUAUCAGCGUAUUUUUGUCGCUUGUUGGAAUAUGCUUUAUCUUGUUUUUGUGUGUUUUGCUUUUCGUGUUUAGCUUUUAAGAAAUUACUUACCUAUCAUUUCACUAGAAUAGGUAAUUCAAUUUUCUUUUUUCAUCUAGAUGUAAGCGUUUUACGAGUGCCUUUUAACUUUAUCUCUAAUUUCUUAUGUUUAUGUUUCUCUUUUCAUUCUUUGCAAUGUUUUUCUUACUGACAGCUCAAGCGUUUGUUACACCGUUAUUUCUGUUAUUAGUUCACCGUUAUCCCUGUUAUCAGUUAUCCGUUAUCCGCUAAGGACUUACACCGUUCGUUACCGCACUUAGUUUUGUUUCUGUUAUCUUGUUUUUGUUUUCCCUUCAUCUGUUGCCGGCAAUGGAUCCACUUCGGAUGCAUUUGUUGUUUGUUAAACUCGAGCCAAAACUCCUUCGUCGCUUGGUGGAGUUCUUAGGAUUCCAACGAGCGAUGAACGCUGGUUUUGCCUGCCCCGACUUCGGAUUCCAUUACACGUUAUGUUGUUACUGUUACCCGUUAUGUGUUUUUGUUCUUGUUCCCGUUACAUCCUAUCUGUUUUCGAUGCGUUCAUUGUUGGAGUCACCGCGUUACUAAACUUAAGCAUUGCGCAACCAUCAACGUCUCAUCUCUCGGGAUGUCACGUUUACGGAUGAGCUUUGCUCGAGCCUUGUUUUGUUUGUCUUCAUGUUUGUUGAUUGUUGUUGACAUUUUGACACUUGAGCAUGUGUUUGUUUUUGUUUUGCACCCGAACAUUGUCAAACUGUUAUGUUUUUGUUUUUGUUUUGCAAUUUCGAUCCAUUCUGUUAUUCAAAAUCCACAUGUCUGUACUGUUGUGUUAAAACCCAUUAAGUUUCUGUUUUAAGUUUUUGUUAAGUUUCCAUUUGACCUGUUAUUGCAAAGGCUGUCAGUGAGCAAGCAUUGCUUGCUUUUUGUUCAUUUUCAACGGUUUUAGUGUGUUUAGGUUAGGACAUUGAAAAGUUUUGCUAAAUUGUUUCUUCACCUUUUAUACGUAAAAACACUAAUAUAUGCUUUCGUGACUACGACAAUAAUGUUAGUUUAGGUAUUUGAUUCCAUCGGCAACGAAAAGCUGAAGCCGUACUCUAUUUACCACUUUGUCUUCACUAGAAGAGAAAAUCAAUCACAAACUGCGAAUGCAUAAAGCAGUUGCGGAAAUUCCCUUUCGGAUCAAACUAAUCCAAAAUCUAUCCUACACCCUUGAACCGCAGGAUCCGAUUAAAAAACUUCUGCUUUUUCACGACCCACCGAGAAUAAUGAAAAAAUCAAACAAUCCACAAAUUCAAAAGAAAAAAAAACAGCAAUUCCAAAUUUGUGAAAUUUCACAACAAUUCGAGAAAGCGUUUCACAUCGCUGUAGAAACAAACACACCACUAAGAGAUAUUUGUCACCUGAAACAUCCCACCGAACCGAAUAUGUUAUUUGUUGACCCACAACACGUUGUUACACUUGUUAUUGCUUUGUUUGUUAUCUAGUUGUAAGGCAAAAACGCGCGAUACCGAUACACUGUUAACUAGUUUUGUUAAGUGUUACAGAAUGUUUUAUUCAUCGCUACAAAGGAAAACAAAUUUUGUUGUGACUUGUUAUGACAGUUGAGUGAGAGAGAAAAAGAACCGAGAAGCCUCACAAGCGUCUCGUUGUUUUCGUUACCAUAGAUACGUUGAAGUAGGAAGCCAAAUCGACCACAACUAUGAAAGGAAAAAUCGCGCGUUCUGUUAAGGUUAUGUUUAUAUUAUGAAAAGUUGUUGAAGAUCCCCGUUCGUUACCCGUACAAAAAUUGUUAGUUUGUUAAAGUUAUCUUGUUAGCUACGAAACCGUUCAAUUCAGCAUUGUUUUUUUUUGCAAUCCAGCGAAGAAUUUCCAGAAUAGGAAAGGUGUAGUUUACCGUCAUUUUGAAUCUGAUUUUUUCUUUUUUCUUCAAAUAGGUUAGAUUUGAUUAAGUGUGUAAUGUCUCAAGAAUCAUGUUUUGGUGUUAGGUUUACAAAGUUUUCAAUUCUUUUUCUAAAUUUUACUUCUUACUUAUUAACCCUUUUAUCAUUCAUACAACUAACACUAGAUUUAUACAUCAACUAUAUUAUAAGCUUUUCAUUGUAUAAGGAUAAUCUUGAUAGUUAAGCAACAAAAAAAAUAUACUAAUUCUAAUCCAUUUCGAACAAAAAAAAAAGAAAUAUUUCGAUUGAAUGUGAAAAAGAGUGAAUGAAGGUCACUGAAUAAAACAUAAAUACAAAACCCCACA